ACUGCUGUGCUUAAUAUUUGAAAUGAAUUGUAAGUGUUGCAUAAUGUGACAACAUGAUUGCCUUGCUAGGGAUGUUGCUGCAGCUGCGUCAGAGCAGAGAACUCUAUGUGUAGGAAGACUAGAUGUGGCAGCAGAAGACCAUGGCUCCAUCCUGCACCUUUGACAGUAGUGGGACAGUUGGCAACUGGUGUUAUAAAAUGAUGGGCAUAGUCCAUUCUUCUGAGUCACUUGCCUGAGACACUCUGUAAAUUUCAGUCUGAAAAACAUGUCUGGCUUCUAAUUGUUACCCCCUUGCUUAUUCUGGUCAAGCACUACUUCUUGUCACAGCUAAUAUUGCAGGUAGUUCUUGUGACUGUGAAUUGUAAGCCUACUUGUCAUAUUAUUUUGUUUCAUGGUUUAUUUGCAUCCUAAAAACACUCCCAGGCUGGCUCGUAUAACAUCAACAACAUGCAGGCUGUGCAUGCCUUCCCUUAGGCGUAUAAUCUAAAAGGCACAGCACAAAAGGAAAAAAGAAUGAGGAGGGCAGAAGAAAGAAUUUCAGAAGCUGCUCCUGUCAAUAUUUCCUCUUAUGCCAAGAAACCAAAGUCGACAGAAUUUGUACUGCUUGGCAGGCAUGCAAAUGAAGAGCAGCUUGAUGGUCAGAGAAUACAAAUGUGUCGGUGUUAAUGAAAGGAGCAGAGGCCGUUGCCGCAACUGUAGGCAUUCCCAGAAGGUCAAGAUCUUCCAAGGAUUCAUAAUUGAGAAAGAAGAGAGCCAGCCCUAUUGAUGUUCCAGCAAAAUAUGCCUGUCUUCUUUACACAUUAGAAUAAUAUGCUUUUUGGUGAGACGACUAUCCACUGGAAAAUAAAGUGAAAUAUAUGACCUUAUAAGUAAUAAAAAGAAUUCAUAUG